rnacentral:misc_RNA from 1 species
AAAGUCGUAACAAGGUUUCCCGUAGGUGGACCCUGCGGAAGGAUCAUUAAAGAAUUAGGCUUCGCGGCCAAGUUCUCACCCUUUGCAUACCGAAACCAUGUUGCUUUGGCAGGCCCCUGCAUUUCUCGGGCCUGCCAGGAGGUUAUAAGUCCUAGAAUCUCUGCUGUCUGAGUACUAUGCAAUAGUUAAAA